CAAAACAAAAAAAGGGGAACACAUAAAUCUCAACACAAUAUUAGCUUCAUGCUUGACUGACAGCAUUGAUGAAAAAUUCAGAAAGACCUUCCCAAAUGAUGUUAAAGGCGGAUCUUUCAAUGGAGUCAUCAGUAGAUUUUCACUUGACACAAAAUCGCUGAUUCAAAAAUACCAAGAUGUCAAACUGCAGCUGAUAUUUCUCCAGACAGAGGAGGAUAAAAUUAAGGCAAAACUCAACAAAAUAAUCCUAAAGGGGAAGAAAAUCAUCUACAACAGUCUAACAGAGACAAUUGAGAAAAACAUGAAAAAGUGCUAUGAAG